rnacentral:rRNA from 1 species
CCUACGGGUGGCUGCAGUGGGGAAUAUUGCACAAUGGGCGCAAGCCUGAUGCAGCCAUGCCGCGUGUGUGAAGAAGGCCUUCGGGUUGUAAAGCACUUUCAGCGGGGAGGAAGGCGGUGAGGUUAAUAACCUCAUCGAUUGACGUUACCCGCAGAAGAAGCACCGGCUAACUCCGUGCCAGCAGCCGCGGUAAUACGGAGGGUGCAAGCGUUAAUCGGAAUUACUGGGCGUAAAGCGCACGCAGGCGGUCUGUCAAGUCGGAUGUGAAAUCCCCGGGCUCAACCUGGGAACUGCAUUCGAAACUGGCAGGCUAGAGUCUUGUAGAGGGGGGUAGAAUUCCAGGUGUAGCGGUGAAAUGCGUAGAGAUCUGGAGGAAUACCGGUGGCGAAGGCGGCCCCCUGGACAAAGACUGACGCUCAGGUGCGAAAGCGUGAGGAGCAAACAGGAUUAGAUACCCUAGUAGUC